GUGGACUUCUUUGAGACCACAACUUCAGUCAGUGAAGUUGUUGAAGUCGAUGCUACACAACCGCCUCCUGAAAAGAAAACACGUCCGCUGAAGUCAUCACCAGAAACCCUUGCUCUGCUAGAAAUUGAGAGGGAGAAGCUUCAAUUAUACAGAGAGAGAGUCGCCAUAGAAAGAGAGCGACUCCUCCUUGAGAGGGAAACAUUUGAAUGGGAGAAGAGUAGGGCCAGAGUGUGCAAAAAAUGUUUAACUGAAAUAUAAAUGAAUGAAUUGUAAUCUUGA